UACAGAGACUGCAAGCGUUAUUCGGAUUCACUGGGCGUAAAGGGCGCGCAGGCGGCCGUGUGUGUGAGGCGUGAAAGCCUGGAGCUUAACUCCAGAAUUGCACCUCAAACUACAUGGCUAGAGCAUUGGAGAGGGUAGCAGAAUUCAUGGUGUAGCAGUGAAAUGCGUAGAUAUCAUGAGGAAUACCAGAGGCGAAGGCGGCGACCUGGACAACUGCUGACGCUCAGGCACGAAAGCGUGGGGAGCGAACAGG
rnacentral:rRNA from 1 species